AAACAAGGCCGGACGAAAAAAAGCUCUGAAUUGCAGUACGCAGACAUCAUAAUUACGUAAACUCAGCCCAUCCUGGGCGGCCCACCUCGAACCGGUCCAGAUUACUCUGACCGGACCGACCUUUCUUCGUCUUCCCCGUUCGGUAUUUCCGCCCUCGGCGCCGGGAAACCCUAGCCCGCGUCCAUGGACGAUCCCUCCUCCGCCUCCAACAAGCGCAAGCGCGGGCGCAAGCCCAAGGUGUCGCCGCCCUCCCCCGACCGCUCAUCCCCCUCUGCGGUGGCCGCCCCCGCUCCCGUUCCGGUUGCGCGCCGUGGCCGCAAGCCGCGACGUCAUGAGGACCCCGCCGACGCGGACGCCGCGCGUCCGCCGUCCCCGCUCCGCCGCAGGGUGCUUAAUACGGUGGCAAAUGGAGGCGAUGCGGUGGCGGAGGCAGGCCCCGCGAGCUGGGACGAGGUGGUGAGGGUGGUGCCGUGCAUGGACGCCGUGGUCAAGGUGUUCUGCGUGCACACGGAGCCCAACUUCUCGCUGCCGUGGCAGCGGAAGCGGCAGUACAGCUCUAGCAGUAGCGGGUUUAUCAUCAGCGGCCGCCGUGUCCUCACCAAUGCCCACUCCGUGGAGCACUAUACCCAGGUUAAGCUUAAGAAGCGCGGCUCUGACACCAAGUACCUUGCCACCGUCCUGGCCAUCGGCACAGAGUGCGAUAUUGCGCUCUUAACUGUCAAUGACGAUGAAUUCUGGGAAGGAGUUUCACCUGUCGAGUUCGGAACAUUACCGGCCCUUCAGGACGCAGUUACUGUUGUUGGUUAUCCAAUUGGAGGAGAUACUAUAUCCGUGACAAGUGGAGUUGUCUCUAGGAUAGAAAUACUUUCAUACGUUCAUGGUUCUACAGAACUUCUAGGAUUGCAGAUAGAUGCAGCUAUUAAUUCAGGAAAUUCAGGUGGUCCAGCUUUUAAUGAUAGAGGCAAAUGUGUCGGUAUAGCAUUUCAAUCUCUUAAACAUGAAGAUGCCGAGAAUAUAGGCUAUGUGAUACCGACUCCAGUUAUUACACAUUUCAUCGAGGACUACAAAAAUUCUGGAGGAUACACAGGGUUUCCUAUACUAGGAGUUGAAUGGCAGAAAAUGGAGAAUCCUGAUCUCCGUAAAGCAAUGGGAAUGAAACCAGAUCAAAAGGGUGUUCGUGUUAGGAGGGUGGAGCCCACGGCUCCAGAAUCUGGAUGCCUACAACCGUCUGAUAUUAUUCUUAGCUUUGAUGGUGUUGACAUUGCUAAUGAUGGAACAGUUCCUUUCAGGCAUGGCGAGCGCAUUGGCUUCAGUUAUCUGGUUUCUCAGAAAUAUACUGGCGAGAAAGCUCUUGUUAAAGUUCUGCGUGAUUCAAAAGUUCAUGAAUUUAAAAUAAGGCUAGCAACUCACAAACGACUCGUUGCGGCUCAUGUGAAGGGCAGGCCGCCGUCAUAUUACAUAGUUGCUGGUUUUGUUUUUGCAGCUGUUUCUGUUCCAUAUCUUCGAUCCGAGUAUGGAAAAGAUUAUGAAUAUGAUGCACCUGUCAAGUUGUUGGUGAAGCAUUUACAUGCGAUGGCAGAAUCACCUGAUGAACAGCUUGUGGUGGUAUCACAGGUGCUUGUAUCAGAUAUCAAUAUAGGUUAUGAAGAAAUAGUUAAUACUCAGGUUCUUGCUUUCAAUGGCCAGCCUGUAAAAAAUUUAAAGAACUUAGCGACCAUGGUGGAAAAUUGCAAGGAUGAAUUUUUGAAGUUUGAUCUGGAGUAUGACCAGAUUGUUGUCCUCGAGACGAAAACUGCAAAGUCUGCUACCCAGGACAUUCUGACGACGCACUGUAUACCGUCUGCAAUGUCGGAUGACCUUAAGGCCUAGACGCCUAGUAGUGAGAGGUGGGAGCAUGAUGCAGCCCUGGGCCAUCAGGUGGGCCAACAGCUUGGGCCACAUUUUCGGUUGAAUUGAUUAGCGCAGCAUACUACCUGGUCCGGGAGCAAAAGAAACCCCAAUGUUUCUGUGUUACAUGAAUUAAAUGUUUUUUGAGGGGUUUAUCAAAGAGCAGACUGUCUAAGCUUCCCCAUUAUAGAAGGUUUGAGGGAGUACCACUGUCAGAUAACGAUAAACUGGAGAUGUUACAGCAGAGGUGUGAAAGCGAUAGUAGCUAGUAAGAAUCCGAUUUUUUUCUAUUCACAUGAUUACAUUACAACUACUACAUCAAAUUAUUAACGGUAAAGGAAUCAUUGGUAAAAUAUUUGCAUCUUGUUUCUGGACAAAUAAGAUCGCAAAUAUUUAAGGGUUGUGUACCAAAGUUAUCCCCUCAUCGCUUGGUUGUCCUCAUCAUGCCGUAGGUGUUCUCUCGAUUAGUAUGGAAGAGUGUAGCUGGCUUCCAGCUCAAGCGAUGAGGGAAUUUGGAUUCUGGCCUUAGACCAUGGCACCUUCCACUCCUGCUUUGGAAGCGUCUGUAUCCGUUAGCGCUGAGAGGCACACCUUGCCUUCACUCCUCUUUGCUUCCCUCUCGCGAUAUGCUUGCAGGUUGGUAGUGGUAGCUCGUCCGGUUCCAAUGUCUUUUAUUUCGUUCAACAACUAUCUAGAUGUACAAGUGCCAUUGACCUUGGCGACUUCGCUUCCGCAUGGUUUGUUUUUGUCGUCCGUUGUGCAAGAUUACUACUCGAGUACUAAACUUGAUAGAAUAGAAUCAAUCGAGUCUCUGGUCUCUAUUUUAUGUCACACAACAAUACAUGUCAUUGGUAUUUAUAAAGGUCGUCGUCUUCAUCAUUUCAUUA